rnacentral:rRNA from 1 species
CAAACGACUCUCGGCAACGGAUAUCUCGGCUCUCGCAUCGAUGAAGAACGUAGCGAAAUGCGAUACCUGGUGUGAAUUGCAGAAUCCCGCGAGCCAUCGAGUCUUUGAACGCAAGUUGCGCCCGAGGCCUWCGGGUCGAGGGCACGCCUGCCUGGGCGUCACGC